GUGCUACGGCGCUGUACCGGUACAAGGGGGCCUUGUACCAGUACAAAACCCGCGAAACCGAGCGAGCCAGCUCUCGAUUUUGGCUGUCUGUCGGGCCUUGUACCGGUACAAGAGCCCGUGUACCGGUACAAGUGAAAGUUUUGAGGAGCCCAAGGAUCUAUCUAGAUUGUAUCUAUCACCUAGAGGGGGGUGAAUAGGUGAACGGCCAAAAACCACA
rnacentral:lncRNA from 1 species